UUGUGGGUCAUUGGUGAUGCCAAGCAGGAGAAACCCGCUGACUCCAGUCUCAUUCUCUCCCGCCAUGGACAUAUUCCAGCGUUUCAGGCUCCUGGAGGGAACGGCAUGAUAUCAAGAACCCAACUUAAGCAUCUACUCAAUUAAAUGUUCAAAGGGAUUGAGACGCUCAGUUUCUUAAAACUCCCCAGUGCUGAAGUUAACUCUCCACCAACAUGUACCAAGUCUUCUGUUCCCUGAUUUCACUCACUUUUCUCACUGCAUCUCCUGCCAGGCUCACCAGACUUCAAGCCCUUCCUGCCUUGGGGCCUUUGUGAUGUUGGCCUGGAAUUCUUUCUGUUUCAUCUCCAGUAAAAUGGGA
ensembl:lncRNA